GCCUCUUCAGGUUGUGUGUGUGGUGGCCUGGCAUUCAAUCUGUGAGGUGGAUGCGUGUUGGAAGGACCCCUUUUGGUUUCUUUUUGCUCAGAGCUUUCUUUUAAUAAAUUCCGCUCUCCUCACCUUUCAAUGUGUCCGUAUGCCUAAUUUUUCCUGGUCCUGUGACAAGAACCUGAUUUUAGCUGAACUAAGGAGCGAAAGAUCCUGGAUCAUUUUGGUGACCCAUACUGGUACAUGAGGAAAGGUCACAAAACCCUCCUGUGAGAGGAACCCUCUGUGGAAGAACAGAAUAUGUCACCCCAAAAUAUGAAGAAUUGUUGAGCUGAAGAUGAUUAAGAAGAAGCGGAUGCAGGAAAGCUCUCUGCUCUCCCUCUAUUUGCUUAAAAGCAGGAUAAACACUUACAAAGACUAAAGGGGUCCAUUCCAACUAAGAAACUAUGGGGGACCAGGCAUGGUGGCUCACGCCUAUAAUCCCAGCACUUUGGGAGGCCAAGGCCGGCAGAUCACGAGGUCAGGAGAUCGAGACCAUCCUGGCCAACAUGACGCCACAAUCAAGAACUCAGAAGGGUAGAAGAAAAAGAUAGUUUCCCUUCCCUACACAGGUGUUGAUCCCUUCAUAAAUAUUAUGCAUGCUAAGCCCUAUCUCAAGGUCUACAUCCAGGAGAACCCAACCUGCAACAUUAAGUUACUGACUGUGCAAGAACCCUUUGAUCACGUACCUUACAGACCAAGAUAAGUGAGGAUGCCCAUGUAUAACCUGCUGUCUUUCUGGUCUCUUAUGUUUUUGUACCAGAAAGGGACAACUUUUUGGGUAACCAUAGGUCUCUAGUAUAUCUGUGAUUACAAUAAAGAUUUUUGAUAUACCAAAACUGAUGAACCAAAAUUCCACUGAAAUAGCGAGUAAAUGGAGUUCUUUUAUCCUUUGCAGUAUACCAGGGUGAACUUUUUACAUGAUUUCUUGCUCCAAAGGGAGAAGUGUUAUGACAAAGUACAUUUAAGGACCCUAACUGAUCACAGAAAAAAUAUUAAUGGCAUUGGGAAAAAAAUGCAGACUAAUGAAUCCACUACUAAAUUUUAUCUAUCUUGUAGCUCUAAAAUUGCACUGUUUAGAAUACACUAUGGUAGCCACUAGACAUAUGGCUACUUGAACUUGAAUUGGUUAAAAUCAAAAUUAAGAAUUUAAUUUCUCACUCACAUUAGCCACAUUUCAAGUGCUCAACAGACACAUGUGGCUAGUGUCUACCAUAUUGGACAGCAUAGAUUUAAAGCACAUUUCCAUCAUUGCAACACUGCAAUAUGGAGGAUGUAUCCUCAAUACAUUGAUAUUGCCCCCUCAAAAUUCAUAACCCCUAGAUAUCUUAUCUCUGUAUGUGAGGAUAGUGUAUUAACUUGCACCUGGACUGAGAUAGAUAAAUGCUUAUCUCCAGAGAUGUCUGAAAGUCUGGUACUGACCCUUGUCUAAGAUAAGGAUGGAAUGUGCUGGUUAAUGAUUUAUACUGUGCUAUACAAAGUCCAAAAUUCCUUUGGAGGUAUCCUCUGCUGGCUUGUCUACAUUGUUUAAGGAUGGAUAGGUUGAUGGUUUGCACCUGCUUUAAUCAUUUACACAUUCUGAUUUUAUUUGUGAUCAGUGGAGGAUAAAACCUUCAAUAAACUUGUGUCUUAGCUUCCUUGAUAUUAAGAUAUCUUGCACAUAUCUUAGAUUUUUAUAAUCUGAAUGCAAAGCACAUCCUUUGCAAUUGAGAAAGGACUCUGUGAGCUGCUCCUGGAUAUGUGAAACCCCUCAGUGACUGACCGUAUUUUCUUUCUUCUGCUGUACUUGCCCUUAUUAAAGCCUUACAUGUGAAGUAAGUCCUUUCAAUUGUCUGACUCCGGGUGAUUGUUAUACCCUUUGAUAUAGUUUGGAUAUUUGUGCCUUCCAAAUCUCAUGUUGAAAUGCGAUCCCCUAUGUUGGAGGUGGAGCCUAGUAGGAGGUGUUAGGGUCACGGGAAUGGAUCCCUGAUGAAUGGCUUGGUACACAGUAAUGAGUGAGUUUGUGCUUUAUUAGUUACUGUGAGAUUUACUUGGUAAAAAGAGCCUGGCAACUCCUCCCUCUCCCUUGCUCCCUCUCUUGCCAUGUGACAUGCUUGCUCCAGCUGCACCUUUUGCCACAAUUGUAAGCUUUGUGAGUCCCUCAACAGAAGCUGAGCAAAUGCUGGCACCAUGCUUCUUGUACAGCCUACAGAACUGUGAACCAAAUAAAACUUUUAUUUUUAUAAAUUAUC
rnacentral:lncRNA from 1 species